rnacentral:rRNA from 1 species
UACGUAGGGGGCGAGCGUUAUCCGGAUUUACUGGGCGUAAAGCGCGUUCAGGCGGUCAGCAAAGUUGGUUGUGAAAUCUCAGGGCUCAACCCUGAAAUUGCGACCAAUACUGGUUGACUAGAGUGCAAGAGAGGAAGGUGGAAUUCCCGGUGUAGUAGUGAAAUGCGUAGAUAUCGGGAGGAACACCAGUGGCGAAGGCGGCCUUCUGGCUUGCAACUGACGCUGUAGCGCGAAAGCGUGGGGAGCGAACCGG